rnacentral:rRNA from 1 species
AUGCCAAGGCCAACACCGGCCACUUCUUCCAACCGCUGCUCCGCCUCCAUCGAGCUCCAUCCCCUGCUGUCACUGGAUCGCCAAGAUGCAACCCCGACCCCGUCGGCCCCUUCCUCGUACAACGCUCAAGCCUUCAUGCCCGAGGCCUUCGUCAUCUCUCUGUGUUGCGCUGCGUGCGACCCUGUCAGCCACAUGGUCGCCACCUCUGCAGCCUCCUGCUGCUGUUUCGUGCACCUUCGCUGCCGGUUGGCGUUGACGCAAGACCAACGGCUUCAUCGUCGUUCGCCUACAUGCCCGAACCUCGAAGAUCCCGUGGAACGCCAAGUACCACUAUCCAUCUCCGAGGAUUUCUCCAAGUACCGCACCGAAACCGCCAAGUACCACUACGAUUGCGGACGCCAAGACCGGACCAACAAGUACCCCGAUGACCGUCGAGACCGCCAAGUUCCACUAUCGCCGACAUGUACGACUACACCACGGUCACACGUGAACGACUACAUGGAUACGACAAGUUCCUCUCCGAAACUUGUACCUCUACCGACGACCCUGGACAUCUACGAAACGAACGUGUACAACUACCGUCGCCGUGUACAACGACUUCCACUACGCCGUGUACGACUACUUCCCACGACGACCCGCGAACGACUACCUCCACUACGGCCCGUGAACGACUACUUCCUUUACGAAACGCGUUCCGCCCCGAAUGCACGCUUCGAAGGUAUAACCGCCGGGAACGACCGCCGUGGAACGAAUGCUUUGUUGUAUGAGAUGCUUAUGUUUGCACCGUGUCCGAAUUGUCAUUGCAAGUUCCUCCUCGUUUCCAUGCCACAAUCCCGUGGGAACCCGGUAGCCGGGAGCACCCCACCAUCUUGCAUGACUCGCUCCCGCUCACUUCCUUUUGUACCGGUAUCUCCGUGA